GAUGAAGAACGCAGUGAAAUGCGAUACGUAAUGUGAAUUGCAGAAUUCAGUGAAUCAUCGAGUCUUUGAACGCACAUUGCGCCCCCUGGUAUUCCGGGGGGCAUGCCUGUCCGAGCGUCUUUGCUGCCCUCAAGCACGGCUUGUGUGUUGGGCCUCCGUCCUCCUCCCGGGGGACGGGCCCGAAAGGCAGCGGCGGCACCGCGUCCGGUCCUCGAGCGUAUGGGGCUUCGUCACCCGCUCUUGUAGGCCCGGCCGGCGCUUGCCGACACAUCAAUCUUUUUUCCAGGUUGACCUCGGAUCAGGUAGGGAUACCCGCUGAACUUAAGCAUAUCAAUAAGCGGAGGA
rnacentral:misc_RNA from 1 species